CACUUUUGGUUUUGUUGCUGUUUUUCACCAAUAGGACCUAUGCACUUGAUCUCUGCCUUGUCUCUUUGAGCAGGACACAUUUUGAGAAACAUGGAGGAUUUUUCAAUUCCCAGACUCUACCAAGUGAUGGACGUGGAUCUACGAGCACAAACACACUGAGCAAGAUACUGCCAAUGCCGCACCUCGAACUACUAGACAAACAAACAACAUGGGUGACACCGUAUCAAGAGGUGCAGAUGUCAAGGUCCACACCUAAAUCAAAUGACGCACCUAAAGAAUAAACACAGUGAGAAGUCUUAUUUAGAAGACUUAAAACAUUGAACCCUCGCCGAAAGGUAAAAUCGGUAGUUAUCCAUAUUUAUCCUUUCUGCAUUCCAUUUUUCCUUAAAUUAUUUACUUUCCUUAAAUGGCUUGUUAGUUAAUCAUGCUAUCUUGAAAAGAAAAUAAAAAUGUUAAAAACAAUAAGCCCCAUGUGAUUAUGCUCAUGGCAUAAAACCCAUAAGUACAUUCACUGUGGUGGCAUAAAAAUAAAAUAAAUAUAUUCCUGUCCUAUAAAAAUGAAAAUAUAAAAAUAAAUUUAUGAUCCUACCAGAGAGAGUAACAUUUAUUGAGGAGGCUCAACAUGAUAAAGGCAAGAUAUUUAUGCUAACACUUAACUAGUUCCACAAAGCUUUGUUAUCUAUUUGAGCUCCACAGAAUUCAAUGAUCAAAGAAGACUAGGAGACGGAGGACAUCCUAAUCACUGUCAGGGUGCUGCCGACAUUCAAAUACACCUCCGCCACC
rnacentral:lncRNA from 1 species